AAGACUAUAGACCUGCGGAGUACCUGCGGAGGGAUCAUUACCGAGUUAGGGUCUCCUCCGUGAGGCCCGACCUCCCAACCCUGUGUCUAAUAAACCUGUAUGUGUUGCUUCGGCGGAACGGCAGUCGCCCACCACCACCGUCCCCCUCACCGGGGACAGGAGGAGGGGAGGGAUACCGUCGCCGGGGGAUUCUACACGGUCUCACGGCCGUCCCCUGGAGAGCGUCCGCCGAUGGCCCCA
rnacentral:misc_RNA from 1 species